rnacentral:rRNA from 1 species
UUUAUCAAAAACAUCGCUCUCUGUUUUAAAAUAAAUAGAGAGUCUUACCUGCCCAGUGAAUUUUUUUAACGGCCGCAGUACCCUGACUGUGCUAAGGUAGCAUAAUCAUUUGCCUUUUAAUUGGAGGCCUGUAUGAAUGGUUUGACGUAAAUCUGACUGUCUUUAUUAUAUUAUUUAAAAAUUAAUUUCUAGGUGAAGAAGCCUAGAUUUUAUUGAUAGACGAAAAGACCCUGUCGAGCUUAAAAUUAGUAUAAAAUUUUUAUAAAUUUAAGAAGAAUUUAUUUUUAUUAAAAAUUUUUUGUUGGGGUGACAGAAGAAUUUAUAAAACUUCUUUUAAUUAUUUUUUACUUAUUAGUUAUAAUCUUUCAAUAACAAAAAAAUAAAAGUUACCGCAGGGAUAACAGCGUUAUUUUCUUGGAGAGCUCAAAUUGAAGAGAAAGAUUGCGACCUCGAUGUUGGAUUAAAAUUCCUUAUAGGCGUAGAAGCUUAUAAAGGAGGUCUGUUCGACCUUUAAAAUUUUACAUGAUCUGAGU